rnacentral:rRNA from 1 species
CCCUUAGAUGUUCUGGGCCGCACACGCGCUACAAUGGCAAAGUCAACGAGCUUAUCCUAUGCUGACAAGCACAGGUAAUCUUUUCAGUCUUUGUCGUGAUGGGGAUAGACCCUUGUAAUUAUUGGUCUCCAACGAGGAAUUCCUAGUAAACGCAAGUCAUCAACUUGCAUUGAUUACGUCCCUGCCCUUUGUACACACCGCCCGUCGCACCUACCGAUUGAAUGGUCUGGUGAAGUCUUCGGACCGAUGCUGACUCGUUGGCAACGGAAAGUUGAGUAAACCUUACCAUUUAGAGGAAGGUGAAGUCGUAACA